CCUACGGGGGGCAGCAGUGGGGGAUAUUGCACAAUGGGGGAAACCCUGAUGCAGCGACGCCGCGUGUGGGAAGACGGUCCUCUGGAUUGUAAACCACUGUCCCCAGGGACGAAGAUGACGGUACCUGGGGAGGAAGCUCCGGCUAACUACGUGCCAGCAGCGGCGGUAAUACGUAGGGAGCGAGGGUUGUCCGGAAUUACUGGGGGAAAAGGGAGCGUAGGCGGGGAUGCAGGUUGGGUGUCAAAACUACCGGCUAAACUGGUAGUCGCACUUAAAACUGCAGCUCUUGAGUGAAGUAGAGGCAGGCGGAAUUCUUAGUGUAGCGGUGAAAUGCGUAGAUAUUAGGAGGAACACUAGUGGCGAAGGCGGCCUGCUGGGCUUUUACUGACGCUGAGGCUCGAAAGUGUGGGGAGCAAACAGGAUUAGAUACCCUUGUAGUC
rnacentral:rRNA from 1 species